GAUGAAGAACGUAGCGAAAUGCGAUAAGUAAUGUGAAUUGCAGAAUUCAGUGAAUCAUCGAAUCUUUGAACGCACAUUGCGCCCGCUAGUAUUCUGGCGGGCAUGCCUGUCCGAGCGUCAUUUCAACCCUCAAGCCCCCGGGCUUGGUGUUGGGGAUCGGCGAGCCUCGGCGCCCGCCGUCCCCUAAAUCUAGUGGCGGUCUCGCUGUAGCUUCCUCUGCGUAGUAGCACACCUCGCACUGGGAAACAGCGCGGCCACGCCGUUAAACCCCCAACUUCUGAACGUUUGACCUCGGAUCAGGUAGGAAUACCCGCUGAACUUAAGCAUAUCAAUAAGCGGAGGA
rnacentral:misc_RNA from 1 species